AGAAAAGUCACCCCCUUAUUUCGUUUGUUCACCCACCUUGUUGAGAAACUACUUGUCUGGUUUUAUGCCACUGAGCAGCCGGGAAAUUUGACUUUAUAUUCAGCCAACUUGAAACCUCUUCAGUAAACUUCUCCAUGAAGGCCUUUGUAUAUAUUCUGUUAGAUUUAUUCAUACAGUAGUGAUAAUUCUGAUAAUCCCUUUUCAUUUUGAGAAUUUCCAAAUGCACAGAAAAUUUCAAAGAAUUCUGUUA
rnacentral:lncRNA from 1 species